rnacentral:rRNA from 1 species
UACGGGGGGGGGCAAGCGUUGUUCGGAAUUACUGGGCGUAAAGGGCUCGUAGGCGGCCAACUAAGUCAGACGUGAAAAUCCCUCGGCUUAACCGGGGAACUGCGUCUGAUACUGGAUGGCUAGAGGUUGGGAGAGGGAUGCGGAAUUCCAGGUGUAGCGGUGAAAUGCGUAGAUAUCUGGAGGAAUACCGGUGGCGAAGGCGGCAAUCCUGGACCGGCAUUGACGCUGAGGAGCGAAAAGCCCAGGGGGAGCAAACGGGGAU